rnacentral:lncRNA from 1 species
GUUGUGGUGGCGGUGGAGAACUGUAAUGGACUGUCGGUGGAGGAGGAGGUGAGUACUCUAUGCAAGGAGGAGGUGGUGGUGGUUCGAUACAUGGAGGUGGGGGAGGUGGUGAGUAAUGUGGAGGCGGUGGUGGGGAAUGUGGUGGUGGUGGAGAAUAAUGUGGUGGAGGUGGGGAUGAGUAUGUAUAAGUUGGUGGUGGUGGUGAGUGAUGCGGCGGUGGGGGUGAGUUGUAGUGGUAAGGUGGAGGAGGAGGUGAGUGAUGGGGUGGUGGUGGUGAGCUGUAGUGGU